rnacentral:rRNA from 1 species
AGAGUUUGAUCCUGGCUCAGGACGAACGCUGGCGGCGUGCUUAACACAUGCAAGUCGAACGAGGUGAUUGAAAGCUUGCUUUUGAGAACCGAGUGGCAAACGGGUGAGUAACGCGUAGACAACCUGCCGCAAAGAUGGGGACAACAGUCCGAAAGGACUGCUAAUACCGAAUGUUGUCAGAUUCCCGCAUGGGGGACUGAUUAAAGAUGGCCUCUACUUGUAAGCUAUCGCUUUGUGAUGGGUCUGCGUCUGAUUAGCUAGUUGGUGGGGUAACGGCCUACCAAGGCGACGAUCAGUAGCCGGUCUGAGAGGAUGAACGGCCACAUUGGAACUGAGACACGGUCCAGACUCUACGGGAGGCAGCAGUGGGGAAUCUUCCGCAAUGGGCGAAAGCUGACGGAGCAACGCCGCGUGAGUGAAGAAGGGUUUCGGCUCGUAAAGCUCUGUUGACGGGGACGAAUGUGCGAGAUGCGAAUAGUUUCUUGCAAUAGCGUACCCGUCGAGGAAGCCACGGCUAAUACGUGCCAGCAGCCGCGGUAAUACGUAGGUGGCGAGCGUUGUCCGGAAUUAUUGGGCGUAAAGGGAGCGCAGGCGGNGAAGGCAAUCAGUCUUAAAAGUGCGGGGCUCAACCCCGUGAUGGGAUUGAAACUGUCUUUCUUGAGUGCAGGAGAGGAAAGCGGAAUUCCUAGUGUAGCGGUGAAAUGCGUAGAUAUUAGGAGGAACACCAGUGGCGAAGCGGCUUUCUGGACUGUAACUGACGCUGAGGCUCGAAAGCGUGGGGAGCGAACAGGAUUAGAUACCCUGGUAGUCCACGCCGUAAACGAUGAGUGCUAGGUGUAGGAGGUAUCGACCCCUUCUGUGCCGGAGUUAACGCAAUAAGCACUCCGCCUGGGGAGUACGGUCGCAAGACUGAAACUCAAAGGAAUUGACGGGGGCCCGCACAAGCGGUGGAGUAUGUGGUUUAAUUCGACGCAACGCGAAGAACCUUACCAGGGCUUGACAUUGAGUGAAAGGCCAAGAGAUUGGUCCCUCUCUUCGGAGACACGAAAACAGGUGGUGCAUGGCUGUCGUCAGCUCGUGUCGUGAGAUGUUGGGUUAAGUCCCGCAACGAGCGCAACCCCUAUCAUUUGUUGCCAGCACGUCAAGGUGGGAACUCAAAUGAGACUGCCGCGGACAACGCGGAGGAAGGCGGGGAUGACGUCAAGUCAUCAUGCCCCUUAUGUCCUGGGCUACACACGUACUACAAUGGGAUGGACAGAGAGCAGCGACCCCGCGAGGGCAAGCGAACCCCAUAAACCAUCUCCCAGUUCGGAUUGCAGGCUGCAACCCGCCUGCAUGAAGUCGGAAUCGCUAGUAAUCGCUGGUCAGCAUACAGCGGUGAAUACGUUCCCGGGCCUUGUACACACCGCCCGU